UGGAAAUCCAGUUUGGCUCAGUGGUGCCAGGAGCCGGUCUGCGCUGUGAUCUAGGAGCAGGGAAAAUGGGAUUGAAGUGCCAGAUCACCCCUCCAGUCACCGCGGUCCCAGGAAAGCACAGAACCCCACUGGAGAGGUUUAAAUCGCUGGAUGACCCACAGGACCCCAAGCCACCAUCACCCUGUCUCACAGCACCUCUCUGGAAACCAUAAAACAUCCUAAAAACAGCCUUAACAGUGAUGGAGCUUCAAAUGCAUAAUUUCUGUGAUGCCAACAAAACCAGACAGAAUGCUGGUGCUGAUGGAAAAAACUCUUCAAGUCUUACUGCCAUGGGGUAUUUCUUCACCUCCUCAUUCUCCUGAGCCUCCUGCCAGCCCUCCAGCCAAGCCCAGCUCUCAGGGCAAGAAGACGUGGGCAGGGAAUGAGCAGGACGGAGGGAUUUGACCAGGGUACAGAGAAUCCUUCCCUCCAAAGAUUGAAGUCUUCACUAGGCUAAAGAAUCCUGCAAGGCAUGACCCUGCACCUCCUACGGGCAGAGACUAAAAUAAUCCGCACUUUGCAAAACUUCCUGGGAGAUUUCGGCAGGCGGGGAUGAGCUGGUGUGGCACCACAAGGCGCUGCUGCGGAGCCAGCCCCGAGCCCAGCCCCGAGGCAGCCCCGAGCCCCCGGCGCGGCCCCGGAGCCCCCGGCACAUCCCAUUGCGGCACGGCCGAUGCCGCUCUCGGUGGGAAGAAGCCGGCUCAGCUUAUCCUUGCAGUUUGAGCAACGAUUUCGCCCCUGUGAACCCACCCGGCUGUAAAUCCUGGCACAGACAAGCCCCAAACAUUCAUUUCAGGCAACGCAGUUUGUGUCAUCUCGGCAUUAGCAUUUGCACUCUUAUUAAUUAAUACUUGUUAAACCAAGACUAAAAAUAAAGCGCUCUGCUCCCCGUCUCAGCUAACGCCUCUUUGCCCUCGCCCGGCAGCACGGCUGGGCUGUGGCAGGCUCAGCACUCAGCUGCUCCCUUCUCCAGAGCCAGAACUGGAAGAAAAGGACUGUGGUGAAGCAGGAAUCCUAAAGGAGAAAUCACCUCUUCCUGCACCCCCUUGGUGGGACAAGCCAGCCUCCCCGACCAUAGCUAUGGAUGUGGGGGAAGUGGCAGGGACAGCAGCACACAUAGCAUUUAACUUUUUUUUUCUUUUCCAUUCCAGAUUCUGAAUUCGUUUUUCUUUUGCUGUCCCUUUUCUUCCUGGGCUGGGCCAGCUUGGUUGCACUUCCCAUUCAGAGCUGAUUUCAUUUCCCAGGCAGGACACCCCAGGAAGGCUCCUGUUCAGGAAGGAAAUGGUUCAUCGUGGUGGGCACAGGUGAGCUCAGUGCCUGCACACAGGCAGUGCUGCCACUGCUGCCUCCAACAGCAUCCAACAGGCAGCAGAUGCUGCAAAAAUCCCUUUUUCCUGCCUGUGCCUGGUACUGCCCAUCAGCAUCCCUUUGGAUGCAAAGCAAGCAGCUGCACAUGUGGGUUAGUGCUGCUGUGGGGCAUCUGUGGAGGAAAAAAGGGCCUGAGAAUCUUUUCUGGGGGUCAGAAAAGCUUUUGGGGAACCCCAGGGGUGGAACCCAGCUGGGUUUGGGCACAGGUAAUGGUGCUGCCCACCACAAUCCAGCCAGCCACUAAACCUACCAGGCUCCAUGUUUCCUCUGUUCCCAAUUUCCCAAACUCUUGGGCCCCCCUCAGACCUCAACUGAGCAAAGAGGGGAAACUCUCAGACCAAGCACCUCCCCAUAUAGAUUCUAUAGGUUACACAUGGAUCCUCAGCACACAGAGCACUGGGAGCCAAGGCACGGUGCUGGAUGGAUGAGGCUGUGCCAACCACGGCUCCUCAGUGCUAGUGCUGGGGAAGGCAGCCUGGCCUGAAAUAUUUAACAACAUUAAUGAUAAUAACAGUAAUAAUAGUAAUAAUAACAACAGUCAUUUGUUAGUAAACCCUUGUUAAUGAAAAACAAGCCUGCAAAUUUAUGCAACUCCAGGAAAGCCCCAGGUCACCAAUCUGCUUGACUUAACCCACCAAACCUUGUAAGUCUUGGCCAUUCCUCUGCCUUGGAUGUCCUUCCCAGAGCCCCUUGGCUUUAAUUUGCUGGAGAAGCCCAGGAUCCAGCAGAGCAAAGCUGGAGUUCAGGAUGCCAUCCUCCUCUGCUGUGCUGUGGCACCCAGGUGUGGAUUUGGGGGAUGCCAGGUGUGGAUUUGGGGGAUGCCAGGUGUGGAUUUGGGGGAUACCAGGUGUGGAUUUGGGGGAUGCCAGGUGUGGAUUUUGGGGAUGCCAGGUGUGGAUUUGGGGGAUGCCAGGUGUGGAUUUGGGGGAUGCCAGGUGUGGAUUUGGGGGAUGCCAGGUGUGGAUUUGGGGGAUACCAGGUGUGGAUUUGGGGGAUGUCAGGUGUGGAUUUUGGGGGUGGAGGGGCUCUCCCAGCCCAGGUUGUUGGAAGGAGAAGCUGCUGACCAGGUUUCCCCUGAGCCUGGUUGGGUAGCAGGGCUGGCAGCAGGAGCAGCACUUGGGGAUGCAGCACAGCUCGCACGCGUUGGGAGUGAAUGCUAAUGGUGCCGAGCUCCUGGGAGAAAUGAUCAAAUUCUUUGAAUAAAGCGGGUAGGAGAGGAAGGGGAGGGGGAGGAAGGGAAAAUAACUCCACAGAUUAAUUCUGCUGAUGAAAAUUAAAAUUGGGCACUGCUGAACCAACCCAAAAAUGAGCAGCUUUGGAGCCACAGCUCAACCUCAGCCUGAGUCAAGUCUGCCUGAGCUCCUGCCUGUGCCCCCAGGCCCCCCAGUGGGUUCAGCCAGGGGUUCCCUGAGUGGCCUUGGGACAGGAUGAGGUCCCGAGGCUGUGAAGGGAUGUGCUAAUCCUGCUGUUAGCAUCUCCCCUCCAACAGCUGAUGCCUUCACUUCACCCAGCUUUACUCGCCCAGAGGGCAAGUUAGAGCACUCAGAAUUGUGAGGUUCAUUUCAACACCAAAAAUUUUAAAAAUUAAACGUUGUGAGUUUUUAGUUAA